rnacentral:rRNA from 1 species
GAGAGAGAGACAUGCGCGCAUAUCAAUAAGCGGAGGAAAAGAAACUAACAAGGAUUCCCUUAGUAACGGCGAGUGAAGCGGGAAGAGCUCAAAUUUGAAAGUCUUCAAGGUUUUACCUUGACGAAUUGUAGUUUAAAGAAGUGUUUUCUGCUGAAGUUUUGGUAAAAGUUCUUUGGAAUAGGACAUCAUAGAGGGUGAGAAUCCCGUAUUUGACCAUUAUUUUCAGCUUUGUGAUACACUUUCAAAGAGUCGGAUUGUUUGGGAAUGCAGUCCAAAAUGGGUGGUAAAUUUCAUCUAAAGCUAAAUAUUGGCGAGAGACCGAUAGCGAACAAGUACCGUGAGGGAAAGAUGAAAAGAACUUUGAAAAGAGAGUUAAACAGUACGUGAAAUUGUCAAAAGGGAAGCGUUUGACACCAGUGUUGUUUUCUCGAAAAUCAAUUAAAAAUGGCUCGAUUUUGUAUUGCUUGAGACCUUAAAAGCUCACUGUACAUUUUUCGUGUCUUUUUUAAUGCACUUUUCGUUUAACAAGUCAACAUCAGUUUCUUUUGUUGUAAAAGGGUCAUUGGAAGGUGGCUUUCUUUUCGGAGAAAGUGUUUAUAGCCUUUGCCCUCUGCAAUCGGAGAGACUGAGGUCUGCAGCGUAGACUCUUCGGGGUUAGAUACAUUUGUGCUGAAGUUAUAGCUUUUUAUAGACAACUUGUUGACUAUAAUUAGUCUUGUAGCUUACUCGCUUAUGCUAUUUUACCUACGCUUAGGAUGUUGAAGAUGUAGCACAUCAU